CGUGCACGCUGGCGGUAGGCCUAACACAUGCAAGUCGAACGGCAGCACAGUAAGAGCUUGCUCUUACGGGUGGCGAGUGGCGGACGGGUGAGGAAUACAUCGGAAUCUACUUUUUCGUGGGGGAUAACGUAGGGAAACUUACGCUAAUACCGCAUACGACCUACGGGUGAAAGCAGGGGAUCUUCGGACCUUGCGCGAUUGAAUGAGCCGAUGUCGGAUUAGCUAGUUGGCGGGGUAAAGGCCCACCAAGGCGACGAUCCGUAGCUGGUCUGAGAGGAUGAGCAGCCACACUGGAACUGAGACACGGUCCAGACUCCUACGGGAGGCAGCAGUGGGGAAUAUUGGACAAUGGGCGCAAGCCUGAUCCAGCCAUACCGCGUGGGUGAAGAAGGCCUUCGGGUUGUAAAGCCCUUUUGUUGGGAAAGAAAAGCAGCAGGUUAAUACCCCGCUGUUCUGACGGUACCCAAAGAAUAAGCACCGGCUAACUUCGUG
rnacentral:rRNA from 1 species